AUACGGAGGAUCCGAGCGUUAUCCGGAUUUAUUGGGUUUAAAGGGAGCGUAGGUGGACAGUUAAGUCAGUUGUGAAAGUUUGCGGCUCAACCGUAAAAUUGCAGUUGAUACUGGUUGUCUUGAGUACAGUAGAGGUGGGCGGAAUUCGUGGUGUAGCGGUGAAAUGCUUAGAUAUCACGAAGAACUCCGAUUGCGAAGGCAGCUCACUGGACUGCAACUGACACUGAUGCUCGAAAGUGUGGGUAUCAAACAGGAUUAGAUACCCUGGUAGUCCACACAGUAAACGAUGAAUACUCGCUGUUUGCGAUAUACAGCAAGCGGCCAAGCGAAAGCAUUAAGUAUUCCACCUGGGGAGUACGUCGGCAACGAUGAAACUCAAAUGAAUUGGCGGGG
rnacentral:rRNA from 1 species